rnacentral:rRNA from 1 species
UAAGGAAUAUUGCUCAAUGGGAGAAAUCCUGAAGCAGCAACGCCGCGUGGAGGAUGAAGGGUCUAUGACUUGUAAACUCCUGUAACGAAGGAAAAAAUUCCCAUUAGAUGGGAGAUGAUGGUACUUCUGGAGUAAGCCCCGGCUAACUACGUGCCAGCAGCCGCGGUAAUACGUAGGGGGCAAGCGUUGUCCGGACUUACUGGGUGUAAAGGGUGCUCAGGCGGAUUUGUAAGUCAGAGGUGAAAUCUUACAGCUUAACUGUGAAACUGCCUUUGAUACUGCAAGGCUAGAGUAUGGAAGAGAGUGAUGGAAUAUCUGGUGUAGCAGUGAAAUGCGUAGAUAUCAGAUAGAACACCAAUGGCGAAGGCAGUCACUUGGUCCAUUACUGACGCUAAAGCACGAAAGCGUGGGUAGCAAACA